AUAUCACUUUGAGAAACCGGUUCUCAUACGAUCACCGAAGUCAAGCAACGUUGAGCCUGAUCAGUAUCUAGAUGGGUGACGACUUGGAAAAAUACCAGGUACUGUA